UGGGGAAUCUUCCGCAAUGGACGAAAGUCUGACGGAGCAACGCCGCGUGAGUGAUGAAGGAUUUCGGUCUGUAAAGCUCUGUUGUUUAUGACGAACGUGCAGUGUGUGAACAAUGCAUUGCAAUGACGGUAGUAAACGAGGAAGCCACGGCUAACUACGUGCCAGCAGCCGCGGUAAUACGUAGGUGGCGAGCGUUGUCCGGAAUUAUUGGGCGUAAAGAGCAUGUAGGCGGCUUAAUAAGUCGAGCGUGAAAAUGCGGGGCUCAACCCCGUAUGGCGCUGGAAACUGUUAGGCUUGAUUGCAGGAGAGGAAAGGGGAAUUCCCAGUGUAGCGGUGAAAUGCGUAGAUAUUGGGAGGAACACCAGUGGCGAAGGCGCCUUUCUGGACUGUGUCUGACGCUGAGAUGCGAAAGCCAGGGUAGCGAACGGG
rnacentral:rRNA from 1 species